rnacentral:rRNA from 1 species
ACGGGGCUAAACCAUGCACCGAAGCUGCGGCAGCGACGCUGAUGCGUUGUUGGGUAGGGGAGCGUUCUGUAAGCCUGUGAAGGUGUACUGUGAGGUAUGCUGGAGGUAUCAGAAGUGCGAAUGCUGACAUAAGUAACGAUAAAGCGGGUGAAAAGCCCGCUCGCCGGAAGACCAAGGGUUCCUGUCCAACGUUAAUCGGGGCAGGGUGAGUCGACCCCUAAGGCGAGGCCGAAAGGCGUAGUCGAUGGGAAACAGGUUAAUAUUCCUGUACUUGGUGUUACUGCGAAGGGGGGACGGAGAAGGCUAUGUUGGCCGGGCGACGGUUGUCCCGGUUUAAGCGUGUAGGCUGGUUUUCCAGGCAAAUCCGGAAAAUCAAGGCUGAGGCGUGAUGACGAGGCACUACGGUGCUGAAGCAACAAAUGCCCUGCUUCCAGGAAAAGCCUCUAAGCAUCAGGUAACAUCAAAUCGUACCCCAAACCGACACAGGUGGUCAGGUAGAGAAUACCAAGGCGCUUGAGAGAACUCGGGUGAAGGAACUAGGCAAAAUGGUGCCGUAACUUCGGGAGAAGGCACGCUGAUAUGUAGGUGAAGUCCCUCGCGGAUGGAGCUGAAAUCAGUCGAAGAUACCAGCUGGCUGCAACUGUUUAUUAAAAACACAGCACUGUGCAAACACGAAAGUGGACGUAUACGGUGUGACGCCUGCCCGGUGCCGGAAGGUUAAUUGAUGGGGU